AUCUUCGGUUUAGCUAGUUUUCGACUUGCACUGAUCACGGCCACCGUCGGCCCUAUAAUUCACAAUUUGUUUGUUUCUUGCCGUUUAUUUCAUAAUGUGAACAAUUAAUAAGUCGGGUCCUCCGGGAUAUGUAUUCCAACCAAGGUGGAAUGCGGAAGAGUUGGAGAACCGUCGAAGAAUAGAAGAAGAAGAGAUGGAGGAAGAUCCGAUCGAACCACAGCUCCAGCCAGCGGCCGAUCGAGUGGGGAGAAAUGACUGGUGUCGGUGCGGGAACUGCCCGGUGAUGCCGACGGCCAGAGAGAGCAUUUGCUGUCGGGAGAUUGGCCCUGCAUGCGACCUGCAAGAAGAUGGGUGCAUCAUCCAGAUCCUGAUUUCAUCAGUGUUUGCCUCACGCCAGCUGCCGGGAGGGUGUUUUCUGUCGCAAGAAGGGACAUAAGGGGACACCGGGCAAGGGUUCGAGGCCAAGCACCACCAGCACUAAACAACAACCCCUUUCACAAUUGACGUUCGACCAUUUGCGACGUUUUGGUCGUGCGACAGGCUAAAACAGGCAUCAAUCGCUAGUCAUCUCAUAAGACCGCACAGAGGCUUUCACAAAUGCAACAGCUGUCUGUCGUACAACAUAACAGACAUUACAUACAAGACUUGCUAUGGAUAAUCUCGAUGUCGACAUCACCCCAGAUAACAUUGACCGAUCACAAAGAAUAGGAGCCUGCGGAAGAGCGCGUAUCUACGAGACAAAAUCGGAUCUAAAAUCAACCUACAUCAACAUCCACUAGAAUCUAACUACGUAGUUAUUGAUCAUGGGUGGGCGAGGCACAAUCUGCAUGUUGCCGUGUGAAAAAAAAUUGUUCCUACGCAGGUAAUUCCUUUUAUGACUACGAAAAUAUAGUAUGCAUUUACAUUUAUUUUUGCAAUUGCAACAGCAUUUGCAAUAUGCACACUGGCAGUAGGAUGGUGGCUGGCAGUGUUUUUGACAUUCUGGACGAUUCUGUAGUGUUGACAAUUUGUCCAUGUUUAUUUUUUCAAGUGUGAGAAACUGUAGGAGAUCAGCCCGUAAACAUUUGCUUUAUUUAUUUAUUAAGUCUUCUUUAUACAGGGUAGCCCUUUCAAUAUCGAGUAUUGUUCUGCCAAGGGGCCCUGUCUAUACAGAUAAAAACAUUAAAAAUAUACACAAUAAAUUACAAAGUAAAACCUUACAUAAUACAUGAUAAUAAUAAACAAAACAAAAUAGUAUCAUACUUCGGAUAUUAAUCACAUUCACGCAUAAACAUCCACACACACGUGCACACACCCUCACGCACACACACGCCUACUUAAAGAUAAAUAUAUUACAUUAAAAGAACAACAGAAAACAACAAAAAAGAUCAAGCUGGUUUGAGAGUAAAAAGCCUACAAUGCCUCUUAAAUACAUGAGCUGAGGUUAUUGCACGGAUAUCAGACUGCAAGUUGUUCCAAGUUAACGAACCAUUAUUAUGUAGCGAGCGUUUAAGAUAAUCAGUUCUUGGUUUGGUAAAAAAGAGUGGGGACUGAGCAGCAUAUCGUGUAUAAAUAUAAUUUUUUUUUUGAAUUAUGAUAUUUUUUAAAAGUAGGGCGGUUUGAUAUUUAAUUCUUUGUUUAACUGUUUGCCAGGAAAGUUCAGAUAACAUGGAUAAGUGAGGGUUAUAAAAAUCUGCAUUAAGUAUUAACCUUGCAAACCGGUUUUGUAAUCGGUGGACUGCUGUUACAUAACAUAUUGCACUCUGCCCCCAUAUUACAUUACAAUAAUCAAUGUGCGGUUAAACAAGGUUAUUAUACAUCAUUAAUAAAACUCGCUUGGGCAAGAGGUACCGAAUCCGUCGUAUAAAACCAAUAAUUCUUGACAACUUAUUGCACACAUUAUUGAUAUGACAACUCCAACGCAGGUAAGGGUCUAUUAUCAAACCAAGAUAUUUAAAUUCAUUAACCUGUUCAAUUGCAUCAUUUUUCACAUAAGUAUUUAUCAUUUUAUUUUUUACUUUUGAUCUAGUCCCAAUUAACAUACCUUUGGUUUUCUUUACAUUUAUGGUUUAUAUAUUAUUGUCAAUCCAUUGAAGUAAUUUGUUUAUUGCACAUUGGAGGUAGUACUGAAACAUCUCUAUUUUGACAAAAUAAAGCAGUAUCGUCGGCAUAUACACACAAUUUAAAAUCAUUACCAAAAUUGAUAUUGCAAGCAUCAUUUAUGAAUAUUGAAAAUAAUAAAGGAGAAACCAUACUACCCUGGGGCACACCUUUCAAUAAAGCCCUAAAAUCUGACAAAAUAUUAUUAAAUUUAACACACUGUUCACGUCCAUGCAAGUAAUUUUAAAACCAAAUUGCCUCUGUUCCUUUAACGCCGUAGUUCGACAACUUAGAAAAUAAAAGUUUGUGUAAAACUGAGUCAAAGGCACUCUUUAAAUCAAUAAAAACAACCCCAGUCACCAGACCAUCUUCAAUAUUGCGUAAUAAAUAUUCAUUAACAUCAACCAAAACAGUACUUGUUGAAUGAAGUGGACGGAAUCCCGACUGUAAGGGGCUGCUGAGUAGAGAGUUGUCUGUGAAAUAAUUAUAAAGUUGAGAGUGUAUUGCCUUUUCAAGGAUUUUCAUUAUGUGAGGGAGAACGGAAAUGGGUCUGUAGUUAACGAACUCUUGUUUACUGCCGCUUUUAAAAAUAGGAGUUACACGUGCCCUUUUCCAAUCUUUCGGAAUACAACCUGUACAUAAAGACGUAUUGAAAAUGUGAGCGAUUACGUCACAAAUAAAGUGAGCACUCUCUUUCAAAAGAAGUGGGUGUAAAGAAUCUAAACCUGGUGCUUUAAACUUAUUUAGCUCCUUAAAUCCGUAGUCAACCGUGAUGGGCUCGAACUUGAAAGAUUCGGAGGUGAAUUGAUCAGCAUCUGCAUGUACGUCUAUAUUCUGAUUAUUACAGCAAGUUGAUGUGAAGUGAUUAUUGAAUAAAUUUGCAAUUUUUAGAGGAUAGCUUUCUAGUUUGUCAUUAAUAACAUCGCGCAUCCCAAGUUGAUUAGUUUCAGUAGUAGGGGUGAAUUCCUUUAGAGUUUUCCAUGUAUUUCUAGAGUUUGAUUUGUUGCUUUCAAAUUUAUUCAAAUAAUAGUCCCUUUUCAUUUUUUUAUUCCAGUAAUUAACUUUGUUUCUAAUAGUUUGGUAUUGUUUCCAUAUUAAAAGAUUACCUUUAUCGAUGAGAUCAUGUUUACCAUCGAAUCUUUCUAUCUAAUAAUCUCGUUCUCUCGAAAGACACAAAUAUUCAUCAGGAAUCCAUGGAGAACGUUUGUGUCGCUGACUGACGGAUAUGAGUUGUGCAUGUUUAUCACAUAAACGUAAGAACAUAUUUUUAAAUACAUUCCAUUUUUCAUCGAUAUCGCCAUUUGCGAAGACAUUAGACCAGUCUAUUAGUGCACCUUCCUCCCUAAAAUCAUCACGAUUGAAAUUUCGAAAAGAUCGAAAUAGUUUAAUUCUUGAGUUUUUGGUACCUUUUUCGAUUUGGUAUCAACAUAGAUAAGAGAAUGAUCACUUAGUCCAAUUGAUACUACUUCGCAAUGAAAAUUGUUCUCAAUUGGAACUAAAAUCAAAUCAAUGCAAGUACAAAUGUUUUUCAGUUUUGUUGACAAUGAGUUCUCGGUGAGCUUAUUACAAUUAAAAUCUCCAAGGAUAACAACAUUCGAUGUAUGUUGCAGAGCUUUUUCAAAUUGAAUUUCUGAUUUAUCAAAGAAAUCAUUUGGAGAGUUUGGAGGACGGUAAACAAUAUCGAUCAAAUAAGGUUGUGAUUGUUUACACUUUACUUCGAUUUCCAGAUCUACAAGUUCUAAAUCGUAUCUGCGACUGCAAGUUAAAGUUGAAGUGAUAUAACAAGCCACACCACCACCAGUUGAAUUUCUUUCAAGAUUAAAUCCGUUUAAGUGGAUUUCAGAAUCAAGAAUAAAAUGAUCUAACCAAGUUUCCGUCAGGCCUAUAACAUCAAAAGGGUUGUCAAAAAUGAAAUCUUUUACGUGAUCAAAUUUGCCCCUAAUACUGCGAAUAUUUAGGUGAGAGAUCGUGAUACCUUUCCUGUUAAAAUUUAUUUUAGUAGAUAAAGUAUUGUGAGCUUUUUCAUUUACAUUGUUCACGUCAUCGUUAAUAUUGAAGGUAAGUAAUUCACUUGUGACAUGUGAGUUAUCAUAAAAAGGAAGUUCUUUAAAUAAACAGAUGUCACAAAUCCAAUCAGAGUCUGAUCGGAAGAAAGGUAAGUCAACACGGGAACACUUUAGAUUAAUCCAUUUAAGACAUUUGAUGCACAGUAUUUAUUUUCAUUGUUAUUAACUGUCUUUCAUGUCUUUAGGCAUUUUAUACAUGGAAAUCUCUUACCCAUUAUAACAAUCAGCUAGGUCCUUUUUCUUACUAAUGAAGUUUAAAGGGUUUCAAUGUCACGUUUGCUUCGGAUGACCACUUUCCGGUCAUCCUUGGUAAGAGCUGUGAUCUUUCCAUCUGAGGUCCAUGUUUUUUCACGUUUUCGUGUUUCCUUGCUUGGAAGAGGAGAUUUGAUCUCUUGGCGGUAAGAUCUUAAGUUUUGAUCGUGAUCGAUACACUUGAUCUCUGGCAUUGUAUCUUGAAAAUUUGACAAUGAUGACUCUUGGACCUUCUGUUGGAUUCCGCGAUGCUAGUCGAUGAGAGCGGUCGAUGUCACUGGAUUGAGCACAACAUCCAGCUUCUCCUUAACGAUGUUUAAGAUGACAUCAUCAGUAUUCUCAUUUGCUGAUUCCUUGACUCCAUGAAAACAUAGACAACUUCUUCGACUGUAUUGCACAUGGUUAUCAAGGGCUUCGUUGAUGUCACCACUACUUCUCUGUAACUUCUGGAUCUGUCGGUCUAAUUCUUGAAGUUGAGAUGUUUUGGAUUCGAGGUCCAGCUGGAAAGCGGAAUGUAGAUCACCUGCUAGCUUCUCAUACACACUUUUGUAGACAGCGUCCACUAUCUCCUGGAUAACGACCGGUGAACGCAAAGCUUUCUGUAAUUGCUUUCUUGACGUACCCCUUUCAUGUAGGUUUUCAUUAUCUUAUUGGUGUUUUAAGAGCCGAGCAUUUGGGCAGUGAGGUACAUUAUGCACGCCCUGGUCGUCCAUCACGUGCACAGCGACUAACCUCUUGCCAGUUUGCCAAUGGAUUUGGGCUUACUCCCCAGUGAAUAGCCUUAUCCACAUCCUUAAUGUCGACACCCAUGCCGAAUGCCACUGUACUUAUGAGAAAUCUCAGACUUGAUUCUUUGAAUGAUUUGAGGAUCGUCUCCUGUUGGUAUGUAGUUAAUUUGCCAUGAUAUAUGCCAACUCUUGCAUUGCGGACAGCCGGCUGAUCCAUAUCGGAGUACAUGAAUAUUCCCAACUUUGCACGUAUGUAUAGGUACAGGUCUCCGCAGGUAUUAAAACUUCUGU